UACGAAGGGGGCUAGCGUUGCUCGGAAUCACUGGGCGUAGAGCGCACGUAGGCGGAUUGCUAAGUCAGGGGUGAAAUCCUGGAGCUCAACUCCAGAACUGCCUUUGAUACUGGCGACCUUGAGUCCGGGAGAGGUGAGUGGAACUGCGAGUGUAGAGGUGAAAUUCGUAGAUAUUCGCAAGAACACCAGUGGCGAAGGCGGCUCACUGGCCCGGUACUGACGCUGAGGUGCGAAAGCGUGGGGAGCGAACAGG
rnacentral:rRNA from 1 species